GGGCAUGUAGCUCAGAUGAUAGAGCGCUCGCUUAGCAUGCGAGAUGUACGGGGAUCGAUACCUCGCAUCUCUA
rnacentral:tRNA from 1 species